rnacentral:rRNA from 1 species
CUCAAUCAUGGUCUCCACCUCAAUAAUUCUUCUCCAAACUCGCUUACCGCAUACUCUGAUGCAGACUGGGCUGGUUGUCCUGACACUCGAAGGUCCACUUCCGGUUUUUGUGUUUUUCUUGGUAACAAUUUGAUUUCUUGGUCUUCGAAAAGACAGGUUACAGUCUCACGUUCGUCGGCCGAGGCUGAGUAUCGCGCUAUGGCACAUGCCGUUGCAGAUACAAUCUGGAUUCGGCAGUUACUCUCCGAGCUACACAGGCCUAUUGAGCAGGCCACUAUUGUCUACUGUGACAACAUAUCAGCAGUCUACAUGACCAGCAAUCCAGUUCAACACCGACGCACAAAGCAUAUUGAGAUUGAUAUUCAUUUUGUUCGUGAAAAGGUUGCUCUUGGUCAAGUUCGGGUGCUUCAUGUUCCCUCUACGGCUCAG